rnacentral:rRNA from 1 species
GACGAACGCUGGCGGCGUGCCUAAUACAUGCAAGUCGAGCGAACGGAGGAGAGCUUGCUCUCCGAAGUUAGCGGCGGACGGGUGAGUAACACGUGGGCAACCUGCCUAUAAGACUGGGAUAACUUCGGGAAACCGGAGCUAAUACCGGAUAGAUUCUUUCCUCUCAUGAGGAAAGAAGGAAAGAUGGUUUCGGCUAUCACUUAUAGAUGGGCCCGCGGCGCAUUAGCUAGUUGGUAAGGUAACGGCUUACCAAGGCGACGAUGCGUAGCCGACCUGGUGGGGUGAGCGGCCACACUGGGACUGAGACACGGCCCAGAUUCCUACGGGAGGCAGCAGUAGGGAAUCUUCCGCAAUGGACGAAAGUCUGACGGAGCAACGCCGCGUGAACGAUGAAGGCCUUCGGGUCGUAAAGUUCUGUUGUUAGGGAAGAACAAGUAUGAGAGUAACUGCUCGUACCUUGACGGUACCUAACCAGAAAGCCACGGCUAACUACGUGCCAGCCGCCGCGGUAA